UAAUAGCGUAUACUUAAGUUGUUGCAGUUAAAAAGCUCGUAGUCGGAUGUCGGGCUUGGGCAGGCUGUCGGCUUUUGUCGGACGGCAGGCUCGGGCCUUUCUGCCUGGGGGCCGCGUCACACUUCACUGUGGGGCGUCGGGACACAGGCCGUUUACUUUGAAAAAAUUAGAGUGUUCAAAGCAGGCCUACGCUUGAAUACAUUAGCAUGGAAUAAUGGAAUAGGACUUUGGUGCCAUUCUGUUGGUUUAUGGAACCGAAGUAAUGAUUAAUAGGGACAGUUGGGGCCGUUUAUAUUUCGUUGUCAGAGGUGAAAUUCUUGGAUUUACGAAAGAUAAACUUCUGCGAAAGCAUUCGGCAAGGAUGUUUUCAUUGA
rnacentral:rRNA from 1 species